CACGGGGGGAGCAAACGUUGUUCGGAAUCACUGGGCGUAAAGGGCGCGUAGGCGGCCUCGUAAGUGGUGUGUGAAAUCUCCUGGCUCAACCAGGGAAUUGCGCUCCAAACUGCGAGGCUUGAGGGCAGUAGAGGAAGCUGGAAUUCCAGGUGUAGCGGUGAAAUGCGUAGAUAUCUGGAGGAACACCGUUGGCGAAGGCGGGUCUCUGGGCCGAUACUGACGCUGAGGAGCGAAAGCGUGGGGAGCGAACAGG
rnacentral:rRNA from 1 species